UGACCAGCAAGAUCAUUGCCUCUCCUUGGUUAACCCUAACCGUACACUCAUCAGCACGAUCGUUGCCUCUCACGGGUUAACCCUAACCGUACACUCAUCAGCACGAUCGUUGCCUCUCCUUGGUUAACCCUAACCGUACACUCAUCAGCACGAUCCUUGCCUCUCCUUGGUUAACCCUAACCGUACACUCAUCAGCACGAUCGUUGCCUCUCCCUGGUUAACCCUAACCGUACACUUAUCAGCACGAUCCUUGCCUCUCCUUGGUUAACCCUAACCGUACACUCAUCAGCACGAUCGUUACCUCUCACAGGUUAACCCUAACCGUACACUCAUCAGCACGAUCCUUGCCUCUCCUUGGUUAACCCUAACCGUACACUCAUCAGCACGAUCGUUACCUCUCACAGGUUAACCCUAACCGUACACUCAUCAGCACGAUCGUUGCCUCUCACUGGUUAACCCUAACCGUACACUCAUCAGCACCAUCGUUGCCUCUCACUGGUUAACCCUAACCGUACACUCACCAGCACCAUCGUUGCCUCUCAUUGGUUAACCCUAACCGUACACUCAUCAGCAUGAUCAGUUGCCUCUCAUGUCAUUAAUGGACCAACAGGAAAUGCUGCUGAGGUCUGUGUCCGGAAAAGACCUAGAAGCUUGACAAACCAGUUGCUAAAACAGAUGGUGAUCUCAAUAAAGUCGAUCAGAGAAAUGGGGUCAUUCUUGCCACACCCAACUAAAACAGUCAGAGCCCGGGAAGAAAGUACUCAGGACACAAAAUGUUGCUCCAAAAUGUAAUUCUCUUCAAGCCUGGCAGCGAAAACUGCUGCUGUAACCUGAAUCCAGUCCCAUCCAUGGCUGCUGAGAGACACCCGACAGCCCCAGAGGACAAACUUCCCCGCCCCCACUGCCGCCUCUGCUGCCGCAAACGCCGCGGACCCUGCCAGCGCCCCAGAGCUUUACCAACAGCAGGGAACUUUCUUCAAGACCUUCCUCCUUCUUAUCAAACCCCAAAUCUUCUCUUUGUUCAAAGACACGCAGUUUGUGUGUAUGCCCCUGUGAAACUGAAUGAAUCAAACAUUAAGCCUUUGAAAUUGUGAAUUAUCCUGAGCCUUGAAGGGAAUGUGGCUAUGCAGCCUAGGUCAUGCCACACGCGGCUGCAACUUCUGCCUUUUUCCCUGUAAACAAUAAAGACCAAAUGGCACCGGAGAUAAGACCCCCUCAGAUCACUAACCCUCCUCAUGGAGUCAUAACGCAAUCUUCCUUCAAAUACAGAGAUCCCUAACCAAUGGAACCACUGCGGCGUGUGCCCCUGGUCUCAUAUGAGAACUGUGGUGAUCCUGCUGGAGCUUCUGUCUCUGCCUGGAGAGACCAGAGACCAGACUUCCCUGCUUCCCAUUACUGAUCUUUGCUGUGGACCAGCCGCCUCCUUCAUUGUCCUGUGCAUCUGUCCUAACUCAGACUAGAUGGCACGACGACCCCGUGACAUACUCCGUGUGGAACGCCAAACAUACCUUUCCCAAUAGGAAAAGAGCACCUUGGCUAAUCAGAGCACAGUAAGUGUGCACUCACCCUCAGAGAGAAAGAUGCUGGAAUUGUGUUAA